UCGGAGUUGCCCGGCUCGCAGUACUGCUCGACUCUAGUCGAUGGUAGGCCGAUUUCGAGCGGGAUCAUCGCCUCCGUCCCAUAGGCCAAGCUGAAAGGAGAUUCCUCGGUCGGGACUCGGGGUGUCGUUCGGUACGCCCACAAGACAGAAUUCAAUUCCCCGACCCAGAGGCCUUUGGUUUCGUUCAGUCGGAUCUUCAGUCCAUGCAGAAUGGUUCGGUUGGUUACUUCGAUCUCGUCGUUAGACUGUGAAUGUCCGAUCGAGGUCAGUCUGUGCGUGAUGUGAAAUCUCGCACAGAACUCUCGAAAGUCUCGGUUGUCGAAUUGUCGUCCAUUGGGAUCGUCCGUCGGUCG
rnacentral:lncRNA from 1 species